rnacentral:rRNA from 1 species
GUCGUAGUCCGGAUUGGAGUCUGCAACUCGACUCCAUGAAGUCGGAAUCGCUAGUAAUCGUGGAUCAGAAUGCCACGGUGAAUACGUUCCCGGGCCUUGUACACACCGCCCGUCACACCAUGGGAGUGGGUUGCAAAAGAAGUAGGUAGCUUAACCUUCGGGAGGGCGCUUACCACUUUGUGAUUCAUGACUGGGGUGAAGUCGUAACAAGGUAACCGUAGGGGAACCUGCGGUUGGAUCAC